rnacentral:lncRNA from 1 species
AGAUGUCACUUGCCCUGUGGUAAGGAAGUGUAGUUGGCAGCUGGUGCAGUGGCAAGAAGAGAAAGGAAGUUCCCCAAGACAGAAACAUCUCGGCAGGUUUGGAAUAGUUCACCAGUGAAGUCAUCUCAACCAGCACAGGGCCUUGACUCCUAACAACAAUCACACGAACUUGGAAGAGGAUCCUUCCCCAGCUGAAACUUCACUUGAGACCUUCUCAUUGGCCAUCAUCGACAUCUGGAUUCAUGAUACAGAGAAACUGCUUUGAAUAACUCACCAGUGAAGUCAUCUUGACCUGGACAGAAAUUGAAUCCUCCCAAGAAUCCCAGGAGCUUGGAAGGGGAUCCUUCCCCAGAUGAGCCUUCCCUUGAAAUCUCUGCCAGGCAUCUGACCCAGAGAAACUAGAGGUUAAUCCUAAGAACAGUUACAUAAGCUUGGAAGGAGACCUUUCCCCAGAUGGGCCAUAGCCUGGGCCAUCACCUACAUCUGGACUGAAGAACCAGAGAAACUACUCCAUCAGGAAUCGUUUGGGACCGUGGGUUCUGUUGACACUCACAUUGUGUAAUUAUGUUGCCCACUGCCAACCCUAAAGCCACCAAGGUAGCAGUAGAGAUGGAGUUUCACCACGUUGAGUAGGCUGGUCUGGAACUCCUGACCUCAGGUGAUCUGUCCGCCUCGGCCUCCCAACAUACUGGGAUUACAAGUGUUUCAAAUAAUUCAUCAGUGAAUUCUCCUCAACCUGGUCAAUCAUGUGAACUUAGAAGAUGAUUCCUCCCCAGCUGAUCCUCAGGGAACACUAAGGCCCAUUCUUCCUCUCAAGUAUCCAGAAAUAAAGUUGCUCCAAGUAACAAGUGGACAGCAUAAAAGAUUGUAUGGAAACUAUAAUGCAUCUACAUCUGCAGUAACUAAUCAUAAAAUGAUUUGUAUGAUCAUUCUUCACAUGAUUAGAAUUACUAUGGGAAAGAAGAAAAAGAAA